UUUCAUUUAGUAAGUUACGGCCCUUGAACUUCUCUUGCCUCAUCCCCUGCCGGACUGCUCCUGCCUUGUGCUCUCCUGGAUUUUGACCUGUUUUGGAACGACCACGGAUAUUCGCCUGCCCCAGCUAAGUAGUCUGCCUCCUACCCCUAUUUAUGACUCUUGGCUUCUUAAAUCUCUGCUUGUUUGGAUUGUGGAUCAUCCUGACUGUUUCUGGAGUCCUUUCAGGAUAUUAUUCCCUGCUUUACCUGAGGAAGGCGCCACCGCUUCCUACUGGACCAAACCCUGCUCAUCUCCUCCAUUACCUGGACUGAAUAAAUUACUUUCUUGGAAUCUAUCACUGUGUGUGUGGCUGAAUUUCCAGGUCCUCAGGGAGACACCAUUAC